rnacentral:rRNA from 1 species
AUGGCUUACUAUGCAGUUCAUCAGGCUUAUGCGAGCAACACUACAAACAACACGGAAAGUAUUCAAGAACUGAUAACUAAGAUUUCCCAUCAAUUAGAUGACUUAGCUCGGCGACGAGAAGUAGUUUUUGAGGAUAGGCCUAGCUCUUAUGAUCCUUAUUCUAGAGGCCAUCCUUAUGUUGCUCCUACCUGCCAUAUUUGUGGAUUUCAGGGCCAUUCGCCCGCUGAAUGUCAGCGUGGUUACUCCCAUCCUCCGGAUUGUUUUGGCAUGAGCUUCGCUCAACAGCAUAGCUCAUACCAAAACAAUUACCCAUAUGGGUGGCCUGAAAACCCGAGUAUGUCAUAUAGGAGCAACAACCCUGAGAUCUCAUCGUUUUCUUCUAGUAAUCAUAUGCAGGGAUUUAGGUAUGAAGAGGAGAGCCACAACCAUGCACCACAACAGUUUUAUUCACCUCCUACUCAUAUACCUCAAUACCAGGAGAUGUGUCCAAUGGAGUUAAAUGGUCCUCCAUUUGAUCAACCAACAACUCCAUCACCUUCCAAGCAAUCUCUUGUGCAAGUGCCCACACAAGAUGAAUUUGAUGAUAUAGAGAAGCUCACAUUGCUUAGUCUCGAGUUCACUUGGAGUGCUGAAGAUGAUCCAAUUAGGCCGGUGAUACUAGAUGAAAUGAAGAAGAUCAAGAGUGGGAAUGAGCUAGUGGAAGAAGUAAGGAAGAUUGAGAAGAACAUCAACGCUGGCAGCACUAUUUCUUUAUAG